rnacentral:rRNA from 1 species
CCUACGGGUGGCAGCAGUGGGGAAUAUUGGACAAUGGGGGCAACCCUGAUCCACCCAUGCCGCGUGUGUGAAGAAGGCCUUCGGGUUGUAAAGCACUUUUGUUGGGGAAGAAACCGGCCGGGUUAAUACCCUGGUUGAAUGACGGUACCCAAAGAAUAAGCACCGGCUAACUUCGUGCCAGCAGCCGCGGUAAU